rnacentral:snoRNA from 1 species
UUGCAGCCAGUUAAGCCGACUGUGCUCUUUUCCCCAUGGGGGCCCAGUGUGCAAUGGCUGCAAACAGCAGCCUCCUUGGUAGUGUAUGCAGCCUGUUGCCUGUACAGGUAGCCCUGAGGGACCUUGGAGACAGCU